GCACCAGUAGUCUAAAGGCAUGAUCUGGGAUUCCCAAUCCCAUUAUCCGGGUCCGACUCCCGGCUGGUGCA
rnacentral:tRNA from 4 species